GGUGGGUUUACCUCUCUCACAUUCACACAUCGUAUACUUUUGUUUUAAGUUCUUAUAACACGUCACCCUCCAUGUGCUGCAGGUCUCACUGCGGUGGUCCUUCAGUCUGGAGAUCAGAUGUCCCAGCCUGGGUCGAAUGUGACCUUUGAGUGCAGGAUGGGUGGUGGGGGUAUGAGCAGCUACACCAUGCUCUGGUACCGGCAGGACCGCCCUGGAGCUGCAGUGCAGUUCCUCACUAAAGAGUACGACCAGGCUGCAGGGAACAAAGUGUCCUCUAUCGAUCCGUCCAAAAACACCUUCUCUCUGCACAUCAGUGAGCUGCAACUGAGCGACAGCAGCACUUACUACUGUGCUGCCAAACACAGUGCUGCACUCAGAGCAGAAACUCGUACAGAUAACAGGCCGCUGCAGCUGGAGUUGGGCUUAUCUGGUUUUGUACUGAAAUGGUACCAAAAAAAUGAAGACAUUAUUCAGAUCUGAAAGUAGGGUAAGACACACGAUGGUAC